rnacentral:rRNA from 1 species
GUCCACGCCGUAAACGAUGGGUGCUAGGUGUGGGGGUGUCGACUCCCUCCGUGCCGAAGCUAACGCAUUAAGCACCCCGCCUGGGGAGUACGGCCGCAAGGCUAAAACUCAAAGGAAUUGACGGGGCCCGCACAAGCAGCGGAGCAUGUGGUUUAAUUCGACGCAACGCGAAGAACCUUACCUGGGCUUGACAUGCACGGGAAUGUCGUAGAAAUACGGCAGCCUUUCGGGGCUCGUGUACAGGUGUUGCAUGGCUGUCGU